ACUUGACCUCAAAUCAGGUAGGACUACCCGCUGAACUUAAGCAUAUCAAA
rnacentral:rRNA from 1 species